CCUACGGGAGGCAGCAGUGGGGAAUAUUGGGCAAUGGGCGCAAGCCUGACCCAGCAACGCCGCGUGAAGGAAGAAGGCUUUCGGGUUGUAAACUUCUUUUAAGAGGGAAGAGCAGAAGACGGUACCUCUUGAAUAAGCCACGGCCAACUACGUGCCAGCAGGCGCGGUAAUAAGUAGGUGGCAAGCGGUGUCCGGAUUUACUGGGGGUAAAGGGCGUGCAGCCGGGAAGACAAGUCAGAUGUGAAAUCCCGCGGCUCAACCGCGGAACUGCAUUUGAAACUGUUUUUCUUGAGUACCGGAGAGGUAAUCGGAAUUCCUUGUGUAGCGGUGAAAUGCGUAGAUAUAAGGAAGAACACCAGUGGCGAAGGCGGAUGACUGGACGGCAACUGACGGUGAGGCGCGAAAGCGUGGGGAGCAAACAGGAUUAGAUACCCGGGUAGUC
rnacentral:rRNA from 1 species